rnacentral:rRNA from 1 species
GAUGAACGCUGGCGGCGUGCCUAACACAUGCAAGUCGAGCGAGAUGUAUAUGGACGAAACUUCGGUCUAGGAAAUAUAUUGACAGCGGCGGACGGGUGAGUAACGCGUAGGCAACCUGCCCUUAACACAGGGAUAGCCUCGGGAAACCGGGAUUAAAACCUGAUAAUGCCAAAUAGUCACAUGGCUGUUUGGCCAAAGAUUUAUCGGUUAAGGAUGGGCCUGCGUCUGAUUAGUUUGUUGGUGGGGUAACGGCCUACCAAGACUACGAUCAGUAGCCGACCUGAGAGGGUGAUCGGCCACAUUGGAACUGAGACACGGUCCAAACUCCUACGGGAGGCAGCAGUGGGGAAUAUUGCACAAUGGGCGAAAGCCUGAUGCAGCAACGCCGCGUGAGCGAUGAAGGCCUUUGGGUCGUAAAGCUCUGUCCUUGGGGAAGAAAAAAAUGACGGUACCCAAGGAGGAAGCCCCGGCUAGCUACGUGCCAGCCGCCGCGGUAACAC